AGAUCUUUAGGUUACGCAAGUUAGUGAGCACGGGCCGAAGGGGUAUAGAUCUACCUUUUGUAUAAUGGAGUGACUAGAAUAAUUAGGGGAUUUUUUUUCCUUGUUCACGAUAGGGGAUGAGCUAGCUGUAUAUUUUUUACUUAAAAAUAUGAGACUAAGGAUAGUUGAUCCUAAGCAUGACCAGACAAGCUUCUAUUUAUGAAUCUUGUUGCAAUAAGGUUCUCAUAAGUACAGUUAGGGGUGAAAGGCUUAACAACUUCCCAAAUAUCUUGAUGCUAACUAAAAGUAUUUAGUACUAUUAUUAUGAUUUAAGACAGUUUUAUAGAGAUUAGCCUCUAGAACGUUCUCUGGAAAAUUAAAUUGAUAUUAGGCUUGGUGGAAGCUAGGCUUAGUUUUUAUUUAACAUUAAACCUAGGUUAAAUUUCAGGUUAGUCCUUAGCUCCCUCUCAUUAAUAUUUUAGGAGGUUAAUAAUGUUAUUAUUAGUAAAUUAGUAAAUACUGUAUUGAGUAAUUAAACUUAAUGAACUCGGCAAAACUUUCUUUCAACUGUUUAUCAAAAACAUAGCCCCCCGCUUAAAAUUAGAGUUUAUGGGGGGUGACCUCUGCUCAAUGAUCUAUUAAGAUUAAAUAGCCGCAGUACCCUGACUGUGCUAAGGUAGCAUAAUCAUUUGGCUUUUAAUUGGAGUCUAGGAUGAAAGGGGCCAAUGGAAGAAGACUGUAUUAGGUUUAAUACUUUGAAGUUGCUUAAUAGGUGAAAAUACCUAUAUAUAUACACAUAGGACGAGAAGACCCUAAGAGUUUUAAUAAAUUUGCAGGGUGAAUUAGAUUUCAUGUUUAGAGAAAAUUAUAAUUUGCCAUUACAUCGUAGAUUUUGCUGGGGCGGCAGGUCUUCAAAUAGGUCUAACAAGAUUUUAAUGUAAGCUAUACGUGUCUAUUUAUAAUCAGCUAGGAUAAACUACCUUAGGGAUAACAGCAUUAUUCUUAUGAGAGAUUGUGACCUCGAUGUUGGACUAGGUACCCUGAUUACCAGAAGUAAUCAGGUUAUGUUCUGUUCGAACACCCGAUACCUACAUGAUCUGAGUUCAGACCGGCGUAAGCNAGGUCAGAUUCUAUCCAUUAUUAAAAGUCAUAUAGUACGAAAGGAAAAAUUAUGGCUAUUUUCUUUAAUUGA
rnacentral:rRNA from 1 species